UGGUAUUGAAUUUAUAGCAUCAGCAGAACAGAAAAUGUGAUGUAUUUUAUGCAUGUCAAUAAAGGAAUGACCUGUUCUUGUUCUACAGAGAAUGGAAAUUGGAAGUCAAACACCCUUUGUAUUCCAAAAUAGGGUCUCAAACAUUUUGUAAUUUUCAUUUAAAUUGUUAGGAGGCUCGGAGCUAUUAGUUAAUCUAUCUUCCAAUACACUGUUU
rnacentral:lncRNA from 1 species